CCUACGGGAGGCAGCAGUGGGGAAUAUUGGGCAAUGGGCGCAAGCCUGACCCAGCAACGCCGCGUGAAGGAAGAAGGCUUUCGGGUUGUAAACUUCUUUUAAGAGGGAAGAGCAGAAGACGGUACCUCUUGAAUAAGCCACGGCUAACUACGUGCCAGCAGCCGCGGUAAUACGUAGGUGGCAAGCGUUGUCCGGAUUUACUGGGUGUAAAGGGCGUGUAGCCGGGCUGACAAGUCAGAUGUGAAAUUCCGGGGCUCAACCCCGGACCUGCAUUUGAAACUGUUGGUCUUGAGUAUCGGAGAGGCAGGCGGAAUUCCUAGUGUAGCGGUGAAAUGCGUAGAUAUUAGGAGGAACACCAGUGGCGAAGGCAGUUCACUGGACUGCAACUGACACUGAGGCUCGAAAGUGUGGGUAUCAAACAGGAUUAGAUACCCUAGUAGUC
rnacentral:rRNA from 1 species